rnacentral:rRNA from 1 species
GAUGAACGCUGGCGGCGUGCCUAAUACAUGCAAGUCGAACGAGGUGCUUUUGUAGCAAUACGAGAGUAUCCUAGUGGCGAACGGGUGAGUAACGCGUGGAUGACCUGCCCCAAAGUGUGGGAUAACAGUCCGAAAGGAUUGCUAAUACCUCAUGUGGUUAUCGGUUUUAGAAAGCGAUAACUAAAGCAGCAAUGCGCUUUGGGAGGGAUCUGCGUCCCAUCAGCUAGUUGGUGAGGUAACGGCUCACCAAGGCGACGACGGGUAGGGGACCUGAGAGGGUGGCCCCCCACAAUGGAACUGAACACGGUCCAUACACCUACGGGUGGCAGCAGUAGGGAAUAUUGCUCAAUGGGCGAAAGUCUGAAGCAGCAACGCCGCGUGUGCGAUGAAGGCCUU